rnacentral:rRNA from 2 species
CCUUUAAUGGAGUUUUCGGACAACAGAGAGGGAUGCUCAGUGGCGGACGGGUGAGUAACGCGUGAGGAACCUGCCUUGGAGUGGGGAAUAACACAGUGAAAAUUGUGCUAAUACCGCAUGAAGCAGUUGAGUCGCAUGACUCUAACUGCCAAAGAUUUAUCGCUCUGAGAUGGACUCGCGUCUGAUUAGCUAGUUGGUGGGGCAAUGGCCCACCAAGGCGACGAUCAGUAGCCGGACUGAGAGGUUGACCGGCCACAUUGGGACUGAGAUACGGCCCAGACUCCUACGGGAGGCAGCAGUGGGGAAUAUUGGGCAAUGGGCGAAAGCCUGACCCAGCAACGCCGCGUGAAGGAUGAAGGCUUUCGGGUUGUAAACUUCUUUUAUCAGGGACGAAGAAAGUGACGGUACCUGAUGAAUAAGCCAUGGCUAACUACGUGCCAGCAGCCGCGGUAAUACGUAGGUGGCAAGCGUUAUCCGGAUUUACUGGGUGUAAAGGGCGUGUA